rnacentral:rRNA from 1 species
GAUGAACGCUGGCGGCGUGCCUAAUACAUGCAAGUAGAACGCUGAAGGAAGGAGCUUGUUCUUUCCGGAUGAGUUGCGAACGGGUGAGUAACGCGUAGGUAACCUGCCUGGUAGCGGGGGAUAACUAUUGGAAACGAUAGCUAAUACCGCAUAACAGUAGAUGUUGCAUGACAACUAUUUGAAAGGGGCAAUUGCUCCACUACCAGAUGGACCUGCGUUGUAUUAGCUAGGUGGUGAGGUAACGGCUCACCAAGGCGACGAUACAUAGCCGGCCUGAGAGGGUGAUCGGCCCACCUGGGACUGGGACACGGCACAGACUCCUUAGGGAAGCAGCCGUAGGGAAUCUUCGGCAAAUGACGGAAGUCUUGACGAGCCAAGCCGCAGGAGUGAAGAAGGUUUUCGGAUCGUAAAGCUCUGUUGUAAGGGAAGAACGAGUGUGAGAGUGGAAAGUUGACACUGUGACGGUAUCUUACCAGAAAGGGACGGCUAACUACGUG